rnacentral:rRNA from 1 species
GACGUAGGGCGCGAGCGUUGUCCGGAUUUAUUGGGCGUAAAGAGCUCGUAGGCGGCUUGUCGCGUCGUCCGUGAAAACCUGCAGCUCAACUGCAGGCUUGCGGUCGAUACGGGCAGGCUGGAGUUCGGUAGGGGAGACUGGAAUUCCUGGUGUAGCGGUGAAAUGCGCAGAUAUCAGGAGGAACACCGGUGGCGAAGGCGGGUCUCUGGACAGUUCCUGACACUGAGACACGAAGGCCAGGGGAGCAAACGGG